GCUCUUAUGAAGUUAGCGGCGGACGGGAGAGAAACACGUGGGUAACCUGCCCAUAAGACUGGGAUAACUCCGGGAAACCGGGGCUAAUACCGGAUAACAUUUUGAACCGCAUGGUUCGAAAUUGAAAGGCGGCUUCGGCUGUCACUUAUGGAUGGACCCGCGUCGCAUUAGCUAGUUGGUGAGGUAACGGCUCACCAAGGCAACGAUGCGUAGCCGACCUGAGAGGGUGAUCGGCCACACUGGGACUGAGACACGGCCCAGACUCCUACGGGAGGCAGCAGUAGGGAAUCUUCCGCAAUGGACGAAAGUCUGACGGAGCAACGCCGCGUGAGUGAUGAAGGCUUUCGGGUCGUAAAACUCUGUUGUUAGGGAAGAACAAGUGCUAGUUGAAUAAGCUGGCACCUUGACGGUACCUAACCAGAAAGCCACGGCUAACUACGUGCCAGCAGCCGCGGUAAUACGUAGGUGGCAAGCGUUAUCCGGAAUUAUUGGGCGUAAAAGCGCGCGCAGGUGGUUUCUUAAGUCUGAUGGUGAAAGCCCACG
rnacentral:rRNA from 1 species